GGGUUGUGAGGUUAAGCGACUAAGCGUACACGGUGGAUGCCCUGGCAGUCAGAGGCGAUGAAGGGCGUGCUAAUCUGCGAUAAGCGCCGGUAAGGUGAUAUGAACCGUUAUAACCGGCGAUACCCGAAUGGGGAAACCCAGUGUGAUUCGUCACACUAUCAUUAACUGAAUCCAUAGGUUAAUGAGGCGAACCGGGGGAACUGAAACAUCUAAGUACCCCGAGGAAAAGAAAUCAACCGAGAUUCCCCCAGUAGCGGCGAGCGAACGGGGAGGAGCCCAGAGCCUGAAUCAGCAUGUGUGUUAGUGGAAGCGUCUGGAAAGGCGCGCGAUACAGGGUGACAGCCCCGUACACAAAAGCGCAUGUGCUGUGAGCUCGAUGAGUAGGGCGGGACACGUGGUAUCCUGUCUGAAUAUGGGGGGACCAUCCUCCAAGGCUAAAUACUCCUGACUGACCGAUAGUGAACCAGUACCGUGAGGGAAAGGCGAAAAGAACCCCGGCGAGGGGAGUGAAAAAGAACCUGAAACCGUGUACGUACAAGCAGUGGGAGCACAGGUUUACCUGUGUGACUGCGUACCUUUUGU
rnacentral:rRNA from 1 species